rnacentral:rRNA from 1 species
AUACGAAGGGGGCUAGCGUUGUUCGGAAUUACUGGGCGUAAAGCGCAUGUAGGCGGACAUUUAAGUCAGAUGUGAAAUUCCCGGGCUUAACCUGGGAGCUGCAUUUGAUACUGGAUAUCUAGAGUGUGGAAGAGGUAAGUGGAAUUCCGAGUGUAGAGGUGAAAUUCGUAGAUAUUCGGAGGAACACCAGUGGCGAAGGCGGCUUACUGGUCCAUUACUGACGCUGAGGUGCGAAAGCGUGGGGAGC